AGGAGGAACAGCCCCAGUGGCGGGGCAGCUCUGGAAACCUGGAUUCAGCUCCCGCAGUAACUCCGGAGCACUCCGUCUGCAGGGCCUGGAGGCUCCGGGGCGGG
rnacentral:pre_miRNA from 1 species